GGCUGCAGGGACCGGUUGGGUUCGGUUCCGCUCAGUUCUUCAAGCGCUGCUGCCUGGUGCUUUCCUUUGCCCGUAAGCAUUAGUGCAAAGUCCGGACGAACGCUCUGCACCGCGUUCGCGUCCUCAGUCCGCUGGCGCCGUGUGACCUUGGGCAGGUUGCAUAAUCUUACCUUCCCAGGUGGCUCAAAUGCAAAAUGGGAUGGUAAAAUCCAAAUUGGCGCCAAGCUGUAAGGCUCGUGCCACAGAGCAGGCUGUCAACAAACACCAUCUGUUUCCGCUCAUGGCACUGUUGACUCUGGAUAGAUUGAGAAGUAGCUUUAAAUGGUGACUAGGAUGUUGGCUGACAUCGCCACCCAGAUUCAGAGGACUCUGACAACUGUUUGCCUUAACAGCGUCUUCCCUGUCUCAUCAGAACCAAGGGUAGAGGAGCCUCAGAUUUCCUGAUGGAAGGUUCUCCAGGCUCCGCUGUUGAAGGAUAGAUGUGCUCUGCUCUCACUGAAGGAAGCUAACGAGAUAAUCUGCCCAGUGCAAGAGUGUCUCUGCCUUAAGAGGAGGGGGGAGCUUCCCAAAUGGCCUUUACCCCGGGCUGCUGCUUUGUCCCCUGUUUGGGAGGCCAGCGGCCUGGGCUCUGGCACACAACACUUAUCAGAAGCGAGAACCCAGGAUGCAGUGAUUAAGGAAGAUACUUUGUGUCUACUUCUCAUAAGCAGCCUUUUGAAACAGCUGAUGCUGUAGACACCCUAAUGCCUGAGCAUAGCGCAACUACAUUACUCUGCAUUCUUCACUCCUGUUGAAUUUAACGAGGGGAAGGCCAAAUGCACAUCAGCUUGUGCACUGCCCUCUUAACUCUGCGUUAGAGUGGCGUCUUCCCACGUGAGCAGCGUCCAGGACGCUCAUUAGGAAGAAUCCCAGGCCUCAGAUAUCCUGAAGCUGACUGCUGUGUGCACUAAAAUCUGUGAAGCCCUGCACUAACUUGUGGGGUAAUCUGGUGAUCGAAACUAUGUGGUGGCAUGGAAAAUUUAAGGAGAGACAAGCGGCACAGAGCCAGAAUCCGGGAAGGGGGUGGCAAAGCCGUGCUUUUCUGCGUUUGGGCACCGCCAGCAGGUUGAUGCGGAAGACAGAUGAAAAGUUCGUCACUGGGCAGCCUGGAUGAACGCGACUACGUGACCCACUUCUUAAAGCACAGAUGAGAUCACCUGUUUGACUGCAGCUGCUGGUGAGAGAGAUCCCACCAAAUGAGCGUGUCAGCAAUAUGAGACUCCUUUGAACGAGACAGGCCAGGCUGCUGGGGCCCUGUGAACGUGCCUUGCGUAUUCAGGUCUGUGGUAUUCUGUUACAGCAGCACCAAUGGACUAAGACACCAAAAUCUGUUCUGUUUGAAGAGAUUUGACAUAUUUGUUGUGAUUGGAAAAUCUGAGUAAGAAUCAGGAGCAGAAAGCUCAUGACCGAGCCUCUUUACAAUAUAAGUUUGAUGGUAAAUAAUUUACCCAAAAGCCUUUUAUUUGAAGAAACAACACAAAGAAGGGUGGCAGAGAAUAUCCUCGGCCCUGGAGUCCACUCCCUGGCACGAGGGAGCCGUGAGCAAGGUCUUCUAGAUGC